CGCGAUGACGCUGGCGGCAUGCCUUACACAUGCAAGUCGAACGGCAGCACGGGGGCAACCCUGGUGGCGAGUGGCGAACGGGUGAGUAAUACAUCGGAACGUGUCCUGUAGUGGGGGAUAGCCCGGCGAAAGCCGGAUUAAUACCGCAUACGCUCUACGGAGGAAAGGGGGGGAUCUUAGGACCUCCCGCUACAGGGGCGGCCGAUGGCAGAUUAGCUAGUUGGUGGGGUAAAGGCCUACCAAGGCGACGAUCUGUAGCUGGUCUGAGAGGACGACCAGCCACACUGGGACUGAGACACGGCCCAGACUCCUACGGGAGGCAGCAGUGGGGAAUUUUGGACAAUGGGGGAAACCCUGAUCCAGCAAUGCCGCGUGUGUGAAGAAGGCCUUCGGGUUGUAAAGCACUUUUGUCCGGAAAGAAAACCUCUGGGUUAAUACCCCGGGGGGAUGACGGUACCGGAAGAAUAAGCACCGGCUAACUACGUGCCAGCAGCCGCGGUAAUACGUAGGGUGCAAGCGUUAAUCGGAAUUACUGGGCGUAAAGCGUGCGCAGGCGGUCCGCUAAGACAGAUGUGAAAUCCCCGGGCUUAACCUGGGAACUGCAUUUGUGACUGGCGGGCUAGAGUAUGGCAGAGGGGGGUAGAAUUCCACGUGUAGCAGUGAAAUGCGUAGAGAUGUGGAGGAAUACCGAUGGCGAAGGCAGCCCCCUGGGCCAAUACUGACGCUCAUGCACGAAAGCGUGGGGAGCAAACAGGAUUAGAUACCCUGGUAGUCCACGCCCUAAACGAUGUCAACUAGUUGUCGGGUCUUCAUUGACUUGGUAACGUAGCUAACGCGUGAAGUGACCGUCCU
rnacentral:rRNA from 1 species